GGGAGUAGCAAUACAACUGGUGGCGACCGGCGCACGGGUGAGUAACGCGUAUGCAACCCAUCUAUCAGAGGGGAAUAACCCGGCGAAAGUCGGACUAAUACCGCAUAAAACAGGGACACCGCAUGGUGAUAUUUGUUAAAGAAAUUCGCUGAUAGAUGGGCAUGCGUUCCAUUAGGUAGUUGGUGAGGUAACGGCUCACCAAGCCGACGAUGGAUAGGGGAACUGAGAGGUUGGUCCCCCACACUGGUACUGAGACACGGACCAGACUCCUACGGGAGGCAGCAGUGAGGAAUAUUGGUCAAUGGGCGAGAGCCUGAACCAGCCAAGUCGCGUGAAGGAAGAAGGAUCUAUGGUUCGUAAACUUCUUUUGCAGGGGAAUAAAGUGCAGGACGUGUCCUGUUUUGUAUGUACCCUGAGAAUAAGGAUCGGCUAACUCCGUGCCAGCAGCCGCGGUAAUACGGAGGAUCCGAGCGUUAUCCGGAUUUAUUGGGUUUAAAGGGUGCGUAGGUGGUUUGAUAAGUCAGCGGUGAAAGUUUGCAGCUUAACUGUAAAAAUGCCGUUGAAACUGUCGGACUUGAGUGUAAAUGAGGUAGGCGGAAUGCGUGGUGUAGCGGUGAAAUGCUUAGAUAUCACGAAGAACUCCGAUUG
rnacentral:rRNA from 1 species